UACGUAGGGUGCAAGCGUUAAUCGGAAUUACUGGGCGUAAAGCGUGCGCAGGCGGUUUUGUAAGUCUGUCGUGAAAUCCCCGGGCUCCAACCUGGGAAUUGCGAUGGAGACUGCAAGGCUAGAAUCUGGCAGAGGGGGGGGUAGAAUUCCACGUGUAGCAGUGAAAUGCGUAGAGAUGUGGAGGAACACCGAUGGCGAAGGCAGCCCCCUGGGUCAAGAU
rnacentral:rRNA from 1 species